rnacentral:sRNA from 1 species
UAUGUAAAGAAAAUUAAAGAAGUGCCCUAAGAACAAGUUAGGGAACUGUUGCUUUCUUAUAAAAACGUGAGAAGUAUUGAAAUGCAGGUCUUCUUGCUAUUUUUAGUUUCUCCUUAGUAUGUUACCAAUAAUAUUCAAAACCAAAAUAUUUAUUAGGUUAGGUCAUAAAUAACAUACUGAAAAAACUUCUUGAGCUUAUAUUCGUAAAGUUUCCUGCGACUGAAGCAGAAUCAUUCUCGGAGAUCUUAUAGCAUGGGACCCCACUGUAAACAGUGCGUGUCCAAAGGAGACGGACUUUCUGCACCAGAGCCCGAAACUAAGGCCACGUAGUGCUUGGAUCGGCGAGAUGAGUGCCUGAGUGCUCGACUCUCUGCUUUUCGGCGGUGAUAAGUGGACGCGGCCAAUGGGCCACGCAGGCAGAUUCCGGAGCUGAGUGAUAACUAUCGGCCGUUCUGGCUGAUAAGCUCCACCAUAAUAGUGCGGUACGUACACACACACACACAGAUACACACGGUGGCAAUGCUACAAAUGCGCGUUCAGAAAUUUAAGCUGCUAUCAGUCGGAUUUCGAUUGGGUGAAAGGUUGGGAACUGGCGAAUGAGAAAGAGGGAUCUCAACCGAGGAGCAGCAGAGACAGAGACCAUGCACUUGUUCGACCAAAGCUGUUUUCUAAAUCAAUGCCCAACGAGUUUUCGUAGCCUACAUUUUCCUCUUCACCGAAAGAACAACAAAGAUAUGGCUGCCUCUUUAUUGAGUGUAUCUUUGUAUGUAUGGACAGAGGCUGUGGCAGGAUUUAUAAAAAGGGAUAAUUGCAGUUGUUGUAGGAGUCAUAAGCCU